rnacentral:rRNA from 1 species
GACGAACGCUGGCGGCGUGCUUAACACAUGCAAGUCGAACGGUAAGGCUCCAGCUUGCUGGGGUACACGAGUGGCGAACGGGUGAGUAACACGUGGGUGACCUGCCCUGCACUUCGGGAUAAGCCUGGGAAACUGGGUCUAAUACCGGAUAGGACCAUGGUGUGGAUACUGUGGUGGAAAGUUUUUUCGGUGUGGGAUGGGCCCGCGGCCUAUCAGCUUGUUGGUGGGGUAAUGGCCUGCCAAGGCGGCGACGGGUAGCCGGCCUGAGAGGGUGGACGGCCACAUUGGGACUGAGACACGGCCCAGACUCCUACGGGAGGCAGCAGUGGGGAAUAUUGCACAAUGGGCGGAAGCCUGAUGCAGCGACGCCGCGUGGGGGAUGACGGCCUUCGGGUUGUAAACUCCUUUCACCAUCGACGAAGGGUUUCUGACGGUAGAUGGAGAAGAAGCACCGGCUAACUACGUG